GAAAGAUGAUCAGGUUGAUAGGUCUGAGGUGGAAGUGUGGCGACACAUGGAGCUGACAGAUACUAAUCGAUCGAGGACUUAACCUAAUGUCUA
rnacentral:rRNA from 1 species